rnacentral:rRNA from 1 species
AGAGUUUGAUCAUGGCUCAGGAUGAACGCUGGCGGCAUGCCUAAUACAUGCAAGUCGAACGAGAGGAAGGAAAGCUUGCUUUUCUGAAUCUAGUGGCGAACGGGUGAGUAACACGUAGGUAACCUGCCCAUGUGCCCGGGAUAACUUCUGGAAACGGAUGCUAAAACCGGAUAGGUAGCAGACAAGCAUUUGACUGCUAUUAAAGUGGCUAUGGCCAUGAACAUGGAUGGACCUGCGGUGCAUUAGCUAGUUGGUGAGGUAACGGCCUACCAAGGCGACGAUGCAUAGCCGGCCUGAGAGGGCGGACGGCCACAUUGGGACUGAGACACGGCCCAAACUCCUACGGGAGGCAGCAGUAGGGAAUUUUCGUCAAUGGGGGGAACCCUGAACGAGCAAUGCCGCGUGAGUGAGGAAGGUCUUCGGAUCGUAAAGCUCUGUUGUAAGAGAAAAACGGCACUCAUAGGGAAUGAUGAGUGAGUGAUGGUAUCUUACCAGAAAGUCACGGCUAACUACGUGCCAGCAGCCGCGGUAAUACGUAGGUGGCGAGCGUUAUCCGGAAUGAUUGGGCGUAAAGGGUGCGUAGGUGGCAGAUCAAGUCUGGAGUAAAAGGUAUGGGCUCAACCCGUACUGGCUCUGGAAACUGAUCAGCUAGAGAACAGAAGAGGACGGCGGAACUCCAUGUGUAGCGGUG